AGGAGGAUUACCAUUAUCUAUUCAAAGAAGGCUUUGGGUAGGGCUUCUCAGUCAGAUUAUCCUUAUGUAGGUGGAGAACAUAAACUUGGAAACGUAAUUGGAAUUUGAAGAAAUGCUAUUAGAAUUUUAGGAAGUCAUUUGUAUUCCAUUUCUGAGACGCGACCUGGAUAGAAUUCUGAAAAACACUGAAAAUAUUAGAACAAAGAGAAACUUGUUCCUCCAACCU